GGCAGGAAGAUAUUUUCUGUUGCAGUAGGAAGUUCUUGUUCUAUAGCAUCCCUACUGUGUACCUCUUCUAAUAUAUUAGUUCCUAUCUACUUAAAUUUUUCAGAUAGUGUAUCUCUGGUCAUCUUUGGACUAUCUUCACUGGAAUCGCACCCUUCACGAUAAAGGAGUGCAGAAGAGAAAAAAAAUCACCACCAGGUGAAUCUACUGCUAUUCUGACAUCAUUAUUACAGAAGACAAGUAUAUUUGGGUAGCGCAUUUGGAAUUUUAUUUUCCGCUUGAUUAGAUCCGCACAAUAAGUUGGGAGUUAUAGUGGAUCUUUUCCUCGCUAGAAGUACAACAGAGAAGGUUGAUCUUGUUGACCUGUAUUUCAUACACAAUAUGUCUUAUAUUCCCUGCAAGAAUUUCUUUGUCUUAUCCUGUCUGAUUGUAACUGUUGAAUGCAUACAUGUGUGUAUUAUAAAAUUUCAGUAGUUAAAUAUAUUGCAUUGUGUGUAGGUACUAAUGAAGUACUUAUGCAGGUGUGUCUUUUGUUUUAAAAAAUGCAUGUAGCACUCUGUGGAAAACCUGAACUGCAAAUGCUGAAAUGUAACAGUUCAAGGAAGUGUGAAUUUCCUUUUCUGCAUUGUACAUUAGUGAAGUAAAACAGCUUAUUCUCUGAAAAGUUAUGUGCUUCUCAAUAUUUCGGCAAAGUAACCCCAACUACCCUCCCCCAGCAGUCAGUCUGAUUAAUGUGUGGUGAGUGUCAUUUCAGCAAUGUUGUACGUGCAGCAAAAAGUGCAUAUGAACAACAAGUAAGUUCAGCAAUUCAUUUACUGAUCUCUAGUUACUUUUCACAAAGACUGUCUUCUUGAAAUAAUUCAGAAAGGUCAAUGCAGUGCUACACAAGUCUUUACAUCUGUAACUGCAAGUGUUAUUUCAUAAUUGUAGUACAUGCAGUCAGCAUUACUGAUAUUCGAAUAUUACUUAUACAUUUACAGUUACCUGUAGAAAUUCCUGUUUUCAUGUUCUUUAUUGACAUGUUCAUUUAUUACUAUAACUUGGUACACAGCAGUAUUUUCUCUCUGUCAUGAACAGAUGGAUGUCUGAGUACAAAAAUGGUAUUCCUAUUUCUUUAUGAAUUUCAGAAUGUUACCUGAAGUACAUAUUUGCAGGUAAAGAUAUCUGACUGUUGAAGUACAUGUACUUGGAGAAUUUUUUCUAGCCCCCUUUUGUGUUUUAUACAUACAGCUAUAUGUGGAUUAAAAAUUGUACUAACUGUAGAACUCUGGCCUUCUCACCCUAACCUGGUCAACAGUCGUGGCCAACUGGUUAGCACUACAGUUUUUCUAGUCAUCAUGCCUCUGACAACACUGCUGACUGGAGUGGGUUAUGUGUGUCAAGGAUGACAGGUCAUUACCUAGCUCCUGCCAGAUAUCUAUUUUCUUCCACUUACUGGUACACAUGCAUGCCUGGAUCUUCUCCAGGUAGGAGUCAUGCAAAAGAUAGAGCAUGAUUCAUUUCUCUUUCUCAAACCAGCCAGGAGUAUGGCCUUGUGCCUUCACAGGUGCUGCCAUCAUAGGAAGAGCCAGAACCAGAAUGAGGAAUGUAAAGUGAUGACUGUAUUAUGCUGGGUUAGAACCACUCCCUGUUGAGUGUGACAUCAACUUGACCAAACCUUAAAUUAUUAGCAUGCUCAUUAGACCAGGUAUUGAUAACAUUGGCAGGUUUGGUGUAACCAAAACUGAUUUGUCUCGCACUUUUUUUCUUAAAGAGAAGCACUUACCAGACCAUACAGUUACUAAUGGAUUAUUUCUAUGUUUAUCUAUAGCAGUUAGUUUUGCCAGUAAUAUUUCUUCAUAACAUUUACAUUAUCAUUAUGUCUGAGUUUAGCAGCAUGCGGUUUCAUGUAGUGAAGUUAGGCCUAGUUCUUUUUUUUAAAUAGGUAAUGGAGUAAGAAAUGUCAAUACUAAUAUUAUGAAGUACUUCUUGGACUUUUGGAUAUGGAUUAUUUGUUCAGAUGUGACAUACAGACUUAGAUGACCAUAGAUUAGCCUUUAGAUUCAUGACAGACUGACAUUAAGAGGACUACAUAUUGAGUUUUACCAGCAUAUCUUUGUAUUGGUUAGUUUUGGCCAAAUAGCCUGUGGCUGCGAACAGCUUGGAAUUGCUGUGGACUGCUGCAAAGGUGGUAAAUGUCUGCAGUGCAUCCAUGGCUUUUCAGAUUUAUUCUUGUAAUGUGUCACAUGUGUUCACAAUUGGCUAAAAUCUGGAAUAUACCGAUGUACUUUGUAACAUGUUUGCAUUAUAUUUCAAUUCAUAGAUAACCAUAUACAUUAGGCUAAUUUUCAUACUAAACUUGUAGAUCAGCCUGAAUUAAUGCUGCAAAGUUAAGGUGUACCAUACUGAUUUGUGAAUAGCCGAGAUAGGUGGCAAAUUACUUAGGAUACCUCAGACAUGAAAAAGUAAAAAAAUGUUUAUAAAUUAAUUAAUAGCUAUUAACAGACCAUUUAACAGUUGCUGUCUUAAUGUUUUAAAUGUCAGUUGCAAUGCAUUUUGAACUGUAUUAUGCAUUUAAACAUAACAUUGAAUGACUGGUUAAUUAUGCCAAAGUGCUUGCAAGUUGUUUGUGGUUAUGUUCACUGAAAAUGUUCUAAGUAAGCAAUGCUUCACUGCAUAACCUUGUUAUUGUCCAUAAAUCUGAGAAAUGGCUAUUGCAGUUGAGAAUGUAUACAGUGCAGAAGACAUAAAUGCAGAAUGUGUAGUGAAAAUGUUGUGUUACUGCUGUCACUCUGAGGGCGGAAUACCUGGUAAUGGCAGUACUGCGUUGUAAUGUAGGUGUAAUUACUUCCAUCAGUACAGAAUAAAAUGAA